rnacentral:rRNA from 1 species
AGAGUUUGAUCCUGGCUCAGGAUAAACGCUGGCGGCGCACAUAAGACAUGCAAGUCGAACGAACUUAACCAUUAGUUUACUAUUGGAGCGGUUAGUGGCGGACUGGUGAGUAACACGUAAGCAACCUGCCUAUCAGAGGGGAACAACAGUUAGAAAUGACUGCUAAUACCGCAUAUGCCUUGAGUAUCACAUGGUACAAAAGGGAAAGGAGCAAUCCGCUGAUAGAUGGGCUUGCGUCUGAUUAGAUAGUUGGUGAGGUAACGGCCCACCAAGUCGACGAUCAGUAGCCGGACUGAGAGGUUGAACGGCCACAUUGGGACUGAGAUACGGCCCAGACUCCUACGGGAGGCAGCAGUCGGGAAUAUUGCGCAAUGGAGGAAACUCUGACGCAGUGACGCCGCGUGCAGGAAGAAGGUUUUCGGAUUGUAAACUGCUUUAGACAGGGAAGAAACAAGACAGUACCUGUAGAAUAAGCUCCGGCUAACUACGUGCCAGCAGCCGCGGUAAUACGUAGGUGGCAAGCGUUGUCCGGAAUUACUGGGUGUAAAGGGAGCGCAGGCGGACCGGCAAGUUGGAAGUGAAAUCUAUGGGCUCAACCCAUAAAUUGCUUUCAAAACUGCUGGCCUUGAGUAGUGCAGAGGUAGGUGGAAUUCCCGGUGUAGCGGUGGAAUGCGUAGAUAUCGGGAGGAACACCAGUGGCGAAGGCGACCUACUGGGCACCAACUGACGCUGAGGCUCGAAAGCAUGGGUAGCAAACAGGAUUAGAUACCCUGGUAGUCCAUGCCGUAAACGAUGAUUACUAGGUGUUGGAGGAUUGACCCCUUCAGUGCCGCAGUUAACACAAUAAGUAAUCCACCUGGGGAGUACGACCGCAAGGUUGAAACUCAAAGGAAUUGACGGGGGCCCGCACAAGCAGUGGAGUAUGUGGUUUAAUUCGAAGCAACGCGAAGAACCUUACCAGGUCUUGACAUCCGAUGCAUAGUGCAGAGAUGCAUGAAGUCCUUCGGGACAUCGAGACAGGUGGUGCAUGGUUGUCGUCAGCUCGUGCCGUGAGAUGUUGGGUUAAGUCCCGCAACGAGCGCAACCCUUAUUGCCAGUUACUACGCAAGAGGACUCUGGCGAGACUGCCGUUGACAAAACGGAGGAAGGUGGGGAUGACGUCAAAUCAUCAUGCCCUUUAUGACCUGGGCUACACACGUACUACAAUGGCGUUUAACAAAGAGAAGCAAGACCGCGAGGUGGAGCAAAACUCAAAAACAACGUCUCAGUUCAGAUUGCAGGCUGCAACUCGCCUGCAUGAAGUCGGAAUUGCUAGUAAUCGCGGAUCAGCAUGCCGCGGUGAAUACGUUCCCGGGCCGUGCACACACCGCCCGUCA